rnacentral:rRNA from 1 species
UACGUAGGGGGCGAGCGUUGUCCGGAUUUAUUGGGCGUAAAGAGCUCGUAGGCGGUCUGUCGCGUCGAUCGUGAAAACUUGGGGCUUAACCCUGAGCUUGCGGUCGAUACGGGCAUGACUGGAGUUCGGCAGGGGAGACUGGAAUUCCUGGUGUAGCGGUGAAAUGCGCAGAUAUCAGGAGGAACACCGGUGGCGAAGGCGGGUCUCUGGGCCGAUACUGACGCUGAGGAGCGAAAGCGUGGGGAGCGAACAGG